rnacentral:rRNA from 1 species
GAUUAUGGCUCAGGAUGAACGCUAGCGGCAGGCCUAACACAUGCAAGUCGCGGGGCAGCACGGGUAGCAAUACCUGGUGGCGACCGGCGCACGGGUGCGUAACGCGUAUGCAACCUGCCCCCAUCAGGGGAAUAGCCCGCCGAAAGGCGGAUUAAUGCCCCAUAGGCCCAGGGCGCCGCAUGGCGCUAUGGGUAAAGCUCCGGCGGAUGGGGAUGGGCAUGCGUGCCAUUAGCUAGUUGGGGCGGUAACGGCGCACCAAGGCGACGAUGGCUAGGGGGUCUGAGAGGAUGGUCCCCCACACUGGUACUGAGACACGGACCAGACUCCUACGGGAGGCAGCAGUGAGGAAUAUUGGUCAAUGGGCGGAAGCCUGAACCAGCCAUGCCGCCGUGCAGGAUGACGGCCCUACGGGUUGUAAACUGCUUUUCCUCGGGAAGAAUAAGCCCCUCGUGAGGGGUGAUGCCGGUACCGGGGGAAUAAGGAUCGGCUAACUCCGUGCCAGCAGCUGC